rnacentral:lncRNA from 1 species
CCUACGGCCCGGAACCCUACAGCACCAAAACCCUACAGCCCUGUAACCCCAUAACCCUACGGCCCGGAACCCUACAGCCCCAAAACCCUACAGCCCUGUAACCCCAUAACCCUACGGCCCGGAACCCUACAGCCCUGUAACCCCAUAACCCUACGGCCCGGAACCCUACAGCCCCAUAACCCUACAGCCCCGUACCCUACAGCUCGUAACCCUACAGCCCUGUAACCCCGGAACCCUACAGCCCGGAACCCUACAGCCCUGUAGCCCUACAGCCCUGUAACCCCAUGGCCCCAUAACCCCAUAAUUCCAUAACCCUGGAACCCCACAGCCCCAAACUCCUUAUCCGUAUAACCCCGGAAUCCCUUAAACCCAUAACCCCACAGCCCCAUAACCCCAUAGUCGCUUAAACCCAUAGCCCCAUAAUCCCUUAUACCCAUAACCCCGUAAUCCCUUAAAACCAUAACCCCAUAAUCCCAUAAACCCAUAACCCCGCAUCCCCAUAACCUCAUAAUCCCUUAAAUCCAUAAUCCCAUAAACCCAUAACCUCACAGCCCAGUAACCCCAUAAGCCCGUAACCCCACAGCCCCAUAACCCUGUAAUCCCAUAAACCUAUAACCCCACAGCCCC